GACGAACCGAGCGAACGUUGUUCGGAAUCACUGGGCUUAAAGGGCGCGUAGGCGGGCCGCCGCGUCCGGGGUGAAAUCCUCCCGCUCAACGGGAGAACGGCCUCGGAUACGGGCGGUCUGGAGGGGGGUAGGGGCGUGCGGAACUGUGGGUGGAGCGGUGAAAUGCGUUGAUAUCCACAGGAACUCCGGUGGCGAAGGCGGCACGCUGGACCCCACCUGACGCUGAGGCGCGAAAGCCAGGGGAGCGAACGGGAUUAGAUACCCCGGUAGUCCUGGCCCUAAACGAUGGGUACUAGGUAGUAGACUUGACAUGGGUUUACUGCCGGAGCCAAAGUGCUAAGUACCCCGCCUGGGGAGUAUGGUCGCAAGGCUGAA
rnacentral:rRNA from 1 species